UACGUAGGAGGCAAACGUUGUCCGGAUUUACUGGGUGUAAAGGGUGCUCAGGCGGUCUUGCAAGUCAGGGGUGAAAUCCCGGAGCUCAACUCCGGAACUGCCUUUGAUACUGCGAGGCUUGAGUGCAGAAGAGGCGGAUGGAAUUUCUGGUGUAGCAGUGAAAUGCGUAGAUAUCAGAAAGAACACCAGUGGCGAAGGCGGUCCGCUGGUCUGUCACUGACGCUAAAGCACGAAAGCGUGGGGAGCAAACAGGAUUAGAAACCCCUGUAGUCC
rnacentral:rRNA from 1 species